GCCAGACUCCUACGGGAGGCAGCAGUGAGGAAUAUUGGUCAGUGGCCGGAAGGCUGAACCAGCCAAGCCGCGUGAAGGACGAAGGUGCCAAGCAUUGUAAACUUCUUUUGUCAAGGGACAAAAUCAGGCUCGAGAGCCUGACCGAGGGUACUUGAAGAAAAAGCAUCGGCUAACUCCGUGCCAGCAGCCGCGGUAAUACGGAGGAUGCGAGCGUUAUCCGGAUUUAUGGGGUUUAAAGGGUGCGUAGGCGGACUUUUAAGUCGGGGGAAAAACCCGGGGCCCCACCCCGGGCGAGCCGUUGAAACUGGCUGCCUUGAGAUGUCGAGAGGUAUGCGGAAUGCGCAGUGUAGCGGUGAAAUGCUUAGAUAUCACGAAGAACCCCGAUUGCGAAGGCAGCCUGCCGCAGCGUUACUGACGCUGAAGCUCGAAAGCGCGGGUAUCGAACAGGAUUAGAUACCCUUGUAC
rnacentral:rRNA from 1 species